rnacentral:rRNA from 1 species
AUUGAACGCUGGCGGCAGGCCUAACACAUGCGAGUCGAGCGGAUGAAGGGAGCUUGCUCCUGGAUUCAGCGGCGGACGGGUGAGUAAUGCCUAGGAAUCUGCCUGGUAGUGGGGGAUAACGUCCGGAAACGGGCGCUAAUACCGCAUACGUCCUGAGGGAGAAAGUGGGGGAUCUUCGGACCUCACGCUAUCAGAUGAGCCUAGGUCGGAUUAGCUAGUUGGUGGGGUAAAGGCCUACCAAGGCGACGAUCCGUAACUGGUCUGAGAGGAUGAUCAGUCGCACUGGAACUGAGACACGGUCCAGACUCCUACGGGAGGCAGCAGUGGGGAAUAUUGGACAAUGGGCGAAAGCCUGAUCCAGCCAUGCCGCGUGUGUGAAGAAGGUCUUCGGAUUGUAAAGCACUUUAAGUUGGGAGGAAGGGCAGUAAGUUAAUACCUUGCUGUUUUGACGUUACCAACAGAAUAAGCACCGGCUAACUUCGUG